GGCUCUGUGGCUUAGUUGGUUAAGCGCCUGUCUAGUAAACAGGAGAUCUUGAGUUCGAAUCUCAACAGAGCCU
rnacentral:tRNA from 1 species